GCAGAUGGAAGAGAAGGUUCCACAUAUUGCAUUCUGAAAUUCGUAUGGAUCCCAAAAAGGUAACCAAAAUAGUUAUGGUUUGUGGCAUUCUUCACAACAUCUGCAUACAACUAAAUAAACCAGAUGUAGCAGCAGAAGAGCCUGUUAACGAGGAUGUAGAAAAUGGAAUCAACUACAAUGGACAACAGGAUUGAAGAGGGAUUAGGGAACACAUUGCUGGAACUUAUUUUAACCGUCAUUAAAGUUAAAGCAUC